CAUAUGCCGUGGGUGCAGCCCUAAAAAGACAAGGCUACAUGGCUUUGGGCUGUCAAUCUUCAAUCAAUAAUAUAUAACAGACACUUUUGAACUCCUGCUCCAAACACCCAGCCACAAGAUGUUCCCAUCUCUGCCGUCACAGUCCUGUUGGCAGAGACACAGGACAGGCUCCAGUUCCCGCCCAGGGCCAUUUGCCCACACAUGAGUUCCCUCGUUGUGUCUCUUUCUAAGUGCUGACCAAAGCCACGCAGACGGGGGAGUCCUGUGGGAGGAACACAGGAGCCGAGCCGCUGCCUUGGAGCAUCAUGGUGGGACCCAUGAGGAAGGGCAGACGUGGCGUCAAGGUGACUGGUUCUCAGCCAUUCUGAAUCCCAGUGCAGCUGCAGCACACCUGAAGUGGCUGCAGGCCAUCCCAGCGCCACCAGCCUUUGGGAGAACCUGCUCUAGCCUGACUGGGUUCUCAAGUCCUACUUGUACGUUCCCCAAAGCCACCUUCUUCAUGAUGCCUCAUCUCCAACUCACAGCCAACUGUCCCUUGUUAUACCCCAUGCCCUCAGCCCACCCAGCUCCACACCACCCCCUGCAGGCAUCACAGAACUGCCUGUAUCCGCCACUGUAGCCAAAAACAAAACAAAACCCAGCUGUACCUUGAUCGAAACUCACCGGCACGCGCCCAGAGCCUGCAGCCACCGGCAGGUUGAGAAACUCCACGUUGCUCAACAGGACAAAAGUUCAAUGCAGUGUGAUGCCAACUGCCAGGGGACUGGCUCAGCAGGGUGGAUGGUCAGGGGACCAGGAGGGGACCCGCGAGGGGUGUGGUCAUCAGCAGGAACCGGACUGUUGCUGGGGGUGAUGCAGGGGACAUGGACAGUGCACAGCCAAUAGCAGGUGCAGCCGGGCUGGGCUGGACGGUGGACGGCUUUCAGUGCCAGACUGGGCGGUCAAGGCUUUGUCCUGUCAGAGUGUCACCAGAGGGUAUUUUAGGGAAGAGAUGGCUGUGCUCGGAUGGAGCCAGCAUUUUUCUAGGCGCAGAGAUGACCUUUCUGGUUGGUCCUGAAUGUCCGCUCUGGCCCAGCGGCCUCAUAUGGUGUGCGAGGCAGUUAACCAUCCAACCAAAUGACACGUGUGCCCACGCGGGCCUGUCCCAAAGGACACAGUCACUGUCUAGUCACUAUCCUCUCAUAUGCCCUGGCCUGGAAGCUUCCCGUCGUGGAAGAGGGAGGACCGAAAGGUGGCAGUGUCCCUGUAGAGUCCACACCCCGCCAGUUCCCACAGCAGCCAGGGACCCAGAGAGGCGGAUGGGACCCCAGGGCCUCUGCAGGUGCAAGACUACUAAUGAUGCUGAUGAUGGAGUUCCUGUCGUGGCUCAGCAAAACGAACCCAACGACCAUCCAUGAGGAUGCAGGUUCGAUCCCUGGCCCUGCUCAGUGGGUUAAGGAUCUGGCGUGGCUGUGGCUGCGGUGUAGGCCGGCAGCUGCCGCUCCAAUUCAGCCCCUAGUCUGGGAACUUCCAUAUGCCAAGGGUGCGGCCCUAAAGAGAAAAAAAAUAGCAAUUACAGGUUAUUAGGCAUUUACUAGGUGUCAGGCCUUUUACCUUAGUCGUUUGGUCCAAUUGAGAUACAUGAGAACCUAGUGAGAUAAAUUCUAUUUUAACCCCAUCUUACAAAAGAGGCAAUCAAAGCACACAGAGAUUAAGUUAUUUGCCCAGAAGAAUCAUAGAGCUAGUGAGUAAAAGACCCAGGAUUCAAACCCAGACAGGCAGGCAGGGAGCAGAUACGUUAAGCCUGACCUAUAGCCUAAGUAUUUUCACUCCCAGACUAUUUCCAAAUAAUUAAGUGAAUUGUGUCAUAACCAUAUUGAGUUCUUUCUAGAACCAUCACUCUAUAGGCCUUCUGUUACCUGGGUCCUAGCUGGGCUCGAUGAAAUGUGGUGUCAGAUCCAUGGGUCCAAGUUUCUAUCCCCCAAAGAGGAAAUAGAUCCACGUAAAACCUUGACUCCUUUCUUCAAGUAACCAGUUUCCUUGCUCUUUUGCUCUCGUUCACUCCCAAGACAAGACCUCAGGUCCUAGGGCCCCCUUUUUUGUCACAUCCCAACCGCCACGGCCACCAGAUAGAUGCCUGCUUCUGCCCAGAUCUUGGGACUAGGCAGUCAUAACCAAGGUUGUUGGACCGACGUGCGGUCUCCUUUCCAGGGACAGCACAUAAUCCAAGGUUUCAGAAUAAAAAAAAUGAAACAUGAGUCAGCCGCUGAUGUUUUCCAGGAAACUGUUGUUAUGAAUGAAAAUGACACAAUGACCCUCGUGGGAUAAGGAAUGUGGUAUGUCUUUGCUUCCCUAAAUCAAAUCGAAUUUGGCUCUGAUCCAGAGAGGUCUAAAUCCAGCCACGUUUCCCUGCUCCCUCCCCUGCAUGUUGGAGGGCUCAAGGCCCCAGCCCUAGUGGAGGCCCAGGACUUGGGGGGAGGGGGAGGCCCAGCCUUCAGUCCUUGUGGUCGCCCCAGGUACAUGCCGUCACAGCCCGGGGCCUCCCGAUGCUGCUCCCAGGUUGCAGCCCAUCCAUCCUCAUGGUCAUGGCCGUGUGUGCGUAGCCCCUAGACCCUUCUCCCUUGAGGCAUCCUUUGUCCCAGGCCCAGUCUCUGGGAACCACUUCCUGAAAUGGAUCCACGCCCUUUCUAUACUCAAAGCACCUGUCCUCCUUCUUGGGUAACACACCCUAAUUGCUUUCAGGGGUAUUAGUCUUUAGAAAUCAAAGGUCUCUGGAAUCCCCCGGCAAAUCCUACUCUCACAUCGGUCGCUGUUGCCCUAAAUGGAAAUAAUUGGAAAAAUACGGCACACAUGCAAUUUGUGUAACAGUCCAUUUCUUGAUAGGAAUCAACCAAUGCUGGGGCCAGGAUCCACAACCUAAAAAGCCUCAUGCUUGACCACAUGCCACCUGCUUCUCCCAGCCUUGGACCCUCUGCUUUCUGACUGCCAGGUAGCGGGACCAGCAUGAAUGGUGGCAAUCCAGGCAUGAGAUGGGGACCUGAACCAGGCAGCAGCAGUGAAGGGAGGAUGAGCCCUGGAUGUGCCUGAAGAGAUCCACGUGGGAGCUUUUCAGCCCAGGAUGUGAUGGAAGGCGUGCAGCUCCAAAGGAUCGAAUUGGACAUGAACACAGCAACGUAGGAUGGAGGCACUAGGAUGGGCUGCGUUUCACAGAUGAGGAAACUGGGCUUGGAAAAGACGGGACCAUGCAGAAGACGGCUCCAUGGAAGGAAGAAACUGACAGAUGUGGAAAGAUACACACUGAGAUUAGAAAAUCUCAUUUCCAGUCCAUAAGGUUGCAAUAACCUGUGAGAAGAAGAUAUUUCUAGCUAUGGAUUCUUCCCUAGACAAUAGAAUAGGGACUCCUUUAUAUGCCAUGAGAGAGGGGUAUGAUUAUGUACUCACCUCAGAUUAAUACUUUUCAACAUAAAAAAUGGUCAAUAUGUAAAAUUUCAAGAGGAAACCAUUAUACUGAAAUAUGCUUUCAAAAUAUUUUAAAACUAUGGCAUAGUAAUAGUCAUACUCCUUUAUUGAUGCAGAAAAUGGCAUUAUCCAGUGCAGAAGGUCUAAUAAAUAAGGCAGUUUCAAAGCAAUAAUAAGCAUAAGUGACAUCUUAAGAAAUUUGCAACAACUGUAAUUUGAUGUGAAAAUAUUUGCGAUUUCCAAAGUCUCAAUGGGAAAUACAAAAAAAAAAAAAGUACAGCAAUGUGCGCAGGUGACUUGAAAACACUUAAAGCCCUUGGAAGGAGUUCCUGCUGUGGCUCAGCGGGUUAAGAACCGGACUAGUAUCCAUGAGGAGGCAGGUGUGAUCCCUGGCCUCACUCAGCGGGUUAAGGAUCCGGUGUUGCCAUGAGCUGUGGGACAGGUCUCAGACAAGGCUUGGAUCCUGUGUUGCUGUGACUGUGGUGUAGGCCAGCAGCUGUAGCUCCAGUUUGACCCCUAGCCUGGGAACCUCCUUGUGACACCUGAGUGGCCUAAAGGCAAAAAAAAGAAAAGACUACAGCUGCCAUCAGAGUUCUUCUGUGGCUCAACAGGUUAAAGAUAUGGUGUUGUCAUUGCAGUGGCUUAGGUUGCUGUUGUGGUGUGGGUUCGAUCCCUGGCCUGGGCCAAAAAAAAAAAAGAUUACAUUUUUUAUCAACUGAAAUUAAAAAAAAAAAAAAGCAUAACCUAAAAGUUGAAAGUUAUGUUUUGUUCAGGGACCCCGUACUGAGGACAAUAGCCUGCAAGGGUGGCCUCUCAGCUCCCAGGAACUGUUCCAAAGAGGUCAUGUAGUAGGACAUCCAAAGAUUACUGCUGGGGAGUUCCUGUCGUGGCGCAGUGGUUAACGAAUCCGACUAGUAACCACGAGGU